CUGAAGAAAAAGAUGGUGGAUCUGUGGACCGAUUUGAAUGCUUGAUUUCAUGAUGGACAACAUUGCUGCAUCCUCAAGAACCCUUUCAAGAAUGGCAAAGCAACGGGAGGUCUGCGUGACAGCGAUGGAGAGGCUGCAUCAUAGAGAAGGACAGAGAAUUGGGGGAAGGAGCAUUUCGUGGUGAUAGAUGAGUCACUUCAGACAUAAAAGAAAGUAUGGAAGGGGCAGGAUGGCUGGGGGCUGGAAGCGGAGGAAGUGGGUGUUCGGGAUGCUGGGGGUGCAAAGCACGCGGAGGCGGCCAGGGCGAAGACAUCCAGGGAAGCCGGUGCUUCGCUUGGUGGAGAAGAGGGGGAGGAGGGAACUGGUGCCACUCAUAGCUCAUCAUGUCAAAAGGGAGCAGACAUUUCCAGGGAGGAUAAACAGAGGGU